rnacentral:rRNA from 1 species
GAUGAACGCUGGCGGCGUGCCUAAUACAUGCAAGUCGAGCGAACAGAUAAGGAGCUUGCUCCUUUGACGUUAGCGGCGGACGGGUGAGUAACACGUGGGUAACCUACCUAUAGGACUGGGAUAACUUCGGGAAACCGGAGCUAAUACCGGAUAACAUUUGGAACCGCAUGGUUCUAAAGUGAAAGAUGGUUUUGCUAUCACUUAUAGAUGGGCCCGCGCCGUAUUAGCUAGUUGGUAAGGUAACGGCUUACCAAGGCGACGAUACGUAGCCGACCUGAGAGGGUGAUCGGCCACACUGGAACUGAGACACGGUCCAGACUCCUACGGGAGGCAGCAGUAGGGAAUCUUCCGCAAUGGGCGAAAGCCUGACGGAGCAACGCCGCGUGAGUGAUGAAGGGUUUCGGCUCGUAAAACUCUGUUAUUAGGGAAGAGCAAAUGUGUAAGUAACUGUGCACGUCUUGACGGUACCUAAUCAGAAAGCCACGGCUAACUACGUG